rnacentral:rRNA from 1 species
GACGAACGCUGGCGGCGUGCCCAACACAUGCAAGUUGAGCGACGAACCAGGGCUUGCCCUGGGGCAAAGCAGCGAACGGGUGAGUAACACGUGGGUAACCUACCCCGAUAACCGGGACAACCCGAGGAAACUCGGGCUAAUACCGGAUGUGCUCACUGGACUUCGGUUCAGUGCGUAAAGGAAGCUUCGGCCUCCGUAUCGGGAGGGGCCCGCGGCCCAUUAGUUUGUUGGUGAGGUAACGGCUCACCAAGACCGCGAUGGGUAGCUGGUCUGAGAGGACGAUCAGCCACACUGGGACUGAGACACGGCCCAGACUCCUACGGGAGGCAGCAGUGGGGAAUCUUGCGCAAUGCGCGAAAGCGUGACGCAGCAACGCCGCGUGGGGGAAGAAGGCCUUCGGGUUGUAAACCCCUUUCAGGAGGGACGAAGGUUCGGCGGUGAAUAGCCGUCCGGACUGACGGUACCUCCACAAGAAGCCCCGGCUAACUACGUG